CGACUUCGUCGAGAUUUGGAUUUGGGUUGCAUCAAUGCACAUCCGAGUUUAAGAAGGUACUUUAAUUAAAGCGCGUCUAAAGAUUCUAUCGCAAUACUAUUUGGGGAAGGUCGUGAUAUUCACUAAACGCCCCUCCCAAUUCUAAUCAAUUCUUAUAAUUAUUUAUCGAGGGCCCCGCAUUUGGUUUUGUUUGACGAGGCUCAUCUCAGCUUAUUUUAAAAGCAAACUUAAAAACGACUAUGUUCCCUAUUUUUGGUUUUGUUUCUAACAAGGUAAUUAAAAUCCUAUCUAACUAUCUCGGUCAAAAUAACCCAGAACCUUCCAUACUAUCCUUCAAAUCCUACAGCCCAAACGACAUGGGCCUGUGACAGGCCAAUUCUUCGUGUUCCAACGAUCAAAAACAGUGUGGGCAUCGAGCCCAAAUAACGGGAAACAACGAAAUUCUUGUUGAGAAAAACGAAGGUAAUAGCUUCAACAAGUAAUGAAAUCCCUUGUCUGGGAUCGAAUCCCCAUCCCAACUUGAAUAACAAUCGAGCCUAAUUAAACAUGGUGAAGACGUACGACUAACAAGACCUGGCAAUAUAUUUUCUCAACAGAUUAAUCAAGGAUCAUGACAUGAUUCAGGAGAAUAUUUGACUAAUAUACUAAUUACAUGAUGAAUUUAUUCUUCAGUAGGUGAACUUCAAACCACUCUAUCAAUUCAAUUUAUCCAAAUAGUCCUAGUCAGGUUAGUUAUUACAAAUGAUCCCUGAAAUCAAUAAUUCAUACAAAAAAUAAUCUCGAACGAGUGAAGUAGCACUGAUGCAAAAUCACGAGUGCUAAGCAUUUAUUUCAGUUGACUACUUCCACAUGAUGACACAAAUUGACUUAACUUGGGUUCCUUCUAUUUCAUUUCAAAUCGAGACUACAUCAGGAAUGUUCAGGAGUAUACCUGGGAAAGAUGAAACAAUGAAGAGAAGAAAAAUCAGCAGCAGGCAGCAGAAACAAUUGAACCACAACUAUAAACUCAGCCCGGAAAAUGGAUCAAUAGACCAGGUAACAAACAGGAGGAGAAUUUGACCAAAAUAGCACCAAUCCCAAACACGAACUCAGAUGACAUCCAUAACAUCAGCAUGCAUCAAAAGGGAAACCUAAUUAAACUAACGACCGAUUGAAACAAUUAAUAUUUGAGAAAAAGAAAAUCAAAAUCACAUCAUAAUUUAAAUAAAGAAAUGACAAUCAACCCUAAACGAAUUAACCUAAACACUUAUGACAAUCAUAAAGACAAUUUGGUGCUAAACUCGACUUGAAACUAGAACUAUGCUCAGAACAGUGAGUCGAACCAGGAACUAAAGAAACGAAAGAGAGAAAUCUUACCAAAAAUUAGUCUUCAAACCAACUGCUUUUGGAAUCAAGCUUUAAUUAAUCUUAUAAGUUUACCUUUGUCAAGGCGCUCAAUAGAAGAGUGAGUCGAACCAAGAACUAAAGAAACUAAAGAGAGAAAUCUUACCGAAAAUUAGUCUUCAAACCAACCGCUUUUGGAAUCGAGCUUUAAUUAAUUUUAUAAGUUUACCUUUGUCAAGGUAAUCUCAUAACAUUAAUAAAAAAAACCAUCUGAAUUCCUUAAGUUUCAAAAUAAGUCGUCAUUCUAAUACCUCAGAUCUGAUAUUCGAGCCUAACCAGGAUGAUUCGAGAAGCACAGCUUGGGAAUUUGGGACGAGAAGGUUAAGGCGGGUCUAUGACGUAAAUUUGGGGUCAUUUGGCAUAGGUGACGAACUGGCCGGAAAACUUCAAACGAAGAUUCGAACAACCUGGCUGUGAUUCGAAGGAAACAAGUUUGAUAUUUGGAAUGGGGAAGAGAAGGAGAGUCUGGGGUGUGAUUUUGGGAUGGCUUGGCCAUGGCGGUGACGACUCCGGCGAGAUGUGAAACGGUACGAGGAAGAUGAGAGGAUGUCUCUAGGGUUCUGAUUCUAUUCAGACACUUUUAACUGAUUUGGGGGUGAGAUAUGGGCCGUUAGAUCAAGGUAUAUCGACGUCUGAGAUUGACUAGGCCAAGACGGCGUCGUUCUGGUAAAAUGGGGGUUGGGCCGGG
rnacentral:lncRNA from 1 species